CAGCCGCCGCGGUAAUACAGAGGGUGCAAGCGUUAAUCGGAAUUACUGGGCGUAAAGCGCGCGUAGGUGGUUUGUUAAGUUGGAUGUGAAAUCCCUGAGCUUAACUUAGGAAUUGCAUUCGAUACUGGGAAGCUAGAGUAUGGGAGAGGAUGGUAGAAUUCCAGGUGUAGCGGUGAAAUGCGUAGAGAUCUGGAGGAAUACAGAUGGCGAAGGCAGCCAUCUGGCCUAAUACUGACGCUGAGGUACGAAAGCAUGGGGAGCAAACAGGAUUAGAGACCCCUGUAGUCCCUGUCUCUUAUAC
rnacentral:rRNA from 1 species